CUUGGGAGGGACAUCUGAGGGCUUCUGUUAUACUCAGUGGUUUCUUAAUCUGGUUGAUGAUGACUGGUGCUGGAAGAAGAUGGAAGAAGGCUCUGAAAGUGUUUCUUGAAACUAAGAGGAAGGAGUGGACAGUCUUCACGGUGGAUGGGGUUUGCAAAGUGCACACCAAAGACUCCAGAGAAGACGUUGCCAGUUCAUAUCCCAAAUGUUGUUCUUUUGAAGCCCAUGAGUGAGUGAAAGUAGCACUGCGCGUGCCUUCAACAACAACACUUCAAAAUCGUGCCACAAUUAACAGAAGCAAAGUAAAGUUUUAUUUGUCUUGUGGAUGCUUCACUUGGGAAGGUGCUGUUGAAAGAGAGAGAACACCUGGGGACAGAGACCGGCCAGGUAUCCAGUCUGCCAGGCUUCUGCAUGGGUUUUGGGAGCCUGCAGAGAGUUGCUUGGGAUGCAGCAGUGGUUCUGAUGCUCGGAGUUCAAGCACCAUAAAUUUCUGCAUACUCAUCUCAGUUAAAGUUAUCAGGGAGAAAGGAAAAGCAAAAGCUCAAAAUAACCCUGAGAAAUACUGUUUGGGUGAUUCUGCUCACAAAUCAUCUUAUUUCACAAGAUUUUGGAAAGCGUCAUCACUCCCUGCUGCAACUGGGCCAUUUUGCAGCUUGAAGUUUUGAGGUGAGUCACCUGAAAAUGGAGCUAACAGCAGACUAAAUGAGAAGGCUCAGCAAAAUGACAGAUG
rnacentral:lncRNA from 1 species